rnacentral:rRNA from 1 species
AUACGGAGGGGGUUAGCGUUGUUCGGAAUUACCGGGCGUAAAGCGCACGUAGGCGGACUGGAAAGUUGGGGGUGAAAUCCCGGGGCUCAACCCCGGAACUGCCUCCAAAACUUCCAAUCUAGAGAUCGAGAGAGGUGAGUGGAAUUCCAAGUGUAGAGGUGAAAUUCGUAGAUAUUUGGAGGAACACCAGUGGCGAAGGCGGCUCACUGGCUCGAUACUGACGCUGAGGUGCGAAAGCGUGGGGAGCAAACAGGAUUAGAAACCCCAGUAGUCC